GACGAACGCUGGCGGCGUGCUUAACACAUGCAAGUCGAACGGCAAGGCCCUGCUUUUGUGGGGUGCUCGAGUGGCGAACGGGGGAGUAACACGUGAGUAACCUGCCCUUGACUUUGGGAUAACUUCAGGAAACUGGGGCUAAUCCCGGAUAGCAGCUCCUGCUGCAUUGUGGGGGUUGGAAAGUUUCGGCGGUUGGGGAUGGACGCGCGGGUUAUGAGCUUGUUGGUGGGGUAGUGGCUUACCAAGGCUUUGACGGGUAGCCGGCCUGGGAGGGGGAACGGGCACAAUGGUCCUGCGGGACGCCCCAGAGUCCAACGGGAGGCAGCGGGGGGGAAUCUUGCACAGUGGGCGGACGCCGGAUGCAGCAACGCCGCGGGCGGGAUGACGGCCUGUGGGUUGUGAACCGCUUUAGCCUGUGACGAAGCGGGAGUGACGGUAAUGGGUAAAGAAGCACCGGCUAACUACGUG
rnacentral:rRNA from 1 species